AGAGCGAACGCUGGCGGCAGGCCUAACACAUGCAAGUCGAGCGCCCGUAGCAAUACGGGAGCGGCAGACGGGAUAGUAACACGUGGGAACGCGCCCUUCGGUUCGGAAUAACUCAGGGAAACUUGAGCUAAUACCGAAUACGCCCUUACGGGGAAAGAUUUAUUGCCGAAGGAACGGCCCGCGUCCGAUUAGCUAGUUGGUGAGGUAAUGGCUCACCAAGGCUACGAUCGGUAGCUGGUCUGAGAGGAUGACCAGCAUCACUGGGACUGAGACACGGCCCAGACUCCUACGGGAGGCAGCAGUGGGGAAUAUUGGACAAUGGGCGAAAGCCUGAUCCAGCCAUGCCGCGUGGAUGAUGAAGGCCUUAGGGUUGUAAAGUCCUUUUAACGGGGAGAUAAUGACGGUACCCGUAGAAUAAGCCCCGGCUAACUUCGCGCCAGCAGCCGC
rnacentral:rRNA from 1 species